GAUUAAGUUAUUAAGGGCGCACGGUGGAUGCCUUGGCACUAGAAGCCGAUGAAGGACGUUACUAACGACGAUAUGCUUUGGGUAGCUGUAAGUAAGCGUUGAUCCAGAGAUUUCCGAAUGGGGAAACCCAGCACAAGUUAUGUUGUGUUAUCGACAAGUGAAUUCAUAGCUUGUCAGAAGGCAGACCCGGAGAACUGAAACAUCUUAG
rnacentral:rRNA from 1 species